rnacentral:rRNA from 1 species
CAAUAGCGUAUAUUAAAGUUGUUGCAGUUAAAAAGCUCGUAGUUGGACCUUGGACCUGGACAGGCGGUCCGCCUCACGGCGAGUACUGUCUUGCUGGGUCUUUCCUCUUGGUGAUCUGUUGUUUCGGCAGCAGGGAACCAGGACCUUUACUUUGAAAAAAUUAGAGUGUUCAAAGCAGGCUCGACGCCGGAAUAUAUUAGCAUGGAAUAAUAAAAUAGGACGUGCGGUUCUAUUUUGUUGGUUUUUGGAAUCGCCGUAAUGAUUAAUAGGGACAGUCGGGGGCAUUAGUACUCACAUGCUAGAGGUGAAAUUCUUGGAUUUUGUGAAGACUAACUUCUGCGAAAGCAUUUGCCAAGGAUGUUUUCAUUA